AGCGAACGCUGGCGGCAGGCCUAACACAUGCAAGUCGAACGAGCUCUUCGGAGUUAGUGGCGGACGGGUGAGUAACACGUGGGAACGUGCCUUUAGGUUCGGAAUAACUCAGGGAAACUUGUGCUAAUACCGAAUGUGCCCUUCGGGGGAAAGAUUUAUCGCCUUUAGAGCGGCCCGCGUCUGAUUAGCUAGUUGGUUGGGGUAAUGGCGCACCAAGGCGACGAUCAGUAGCUGGUCUGAGAGGAUGACCAGCCACAUUGGGACUGAGACACGGGCCAAACUCCUAGGGGAGGCAGCAGUGGGGAAUCUUGCGCAAUGGGCGAAAGCCUGACGCAGCCAUGCCGCGUGUAUGGCGAGGGGCCUAGGAUUGUAGAAUACUAUCACCGGUGAAGAUGAUGACUUGAGCCGGAGAAGAAGCCCCGGCUAACUUCGUGCCAGCCGCCGCGGUAC
rnacentral:rRNA from 1 species